rnacentral:tRNA from 1 species
GAGGGUAUAGGUCAGUGGUAGAGUGCAUGCUUAGCAUGCAUGAGGUCCUGGGUUCGAUCCCUAGUUAUUCCA